UGAAAACUCACACGGCACCGUAAGGCGAUGGUAAGCAGAGAAAAACCAAAAUGAGAGAGUCUUGUUAGUGAAAACCCACACGACAUUAUAAGGCGAUGGUGAAUAGAGAAUGAGAUAGGUCAGCUAGUGAAAACUUGCAAAGGGCCCCAUUGAUCGAAAAGAAGAUCCUCAUAGCUCAUCGGUAUCAAUAGAGUCCUCGCAAGGUUUCUCGAUUUUUGAGGCAAAAUUUGUGAUGAAUUUCUAAGAGUCGGACGGUUUACACAGAUCAGACAUCCAGUCCAAAAAUUAUGUG
rnacentral:lncRNA from 1 species